CCGACCUUAGCUCAGUUGGUAGAGCGGAGGACUGUAGUGGGAAUAAUGACCUUUAGCCAUCCUUAGGUCGCUGGUUCGAAUCCGGCAGGUCGGA
rnacentral:tRNA from 1 species